AGUGAACGCUGGCGGUAGGCCUAACACAUGCAAGUCGAACGACCGCACAGUAAGAGCUCGCUCUUACGGGUGGCGAGUGGCGGACGGGUGAGGCAUACAUCGGAAUCUACUUUUACGUGGGGAAUAACGUAGGGAAACUUACGCUAAUACCUCAUACGACCUACGGGAUAAAUCAGUAGAUCUUCAGACCUUUCCCGACUCAUUGAGACGAUGUCGGAUUAGCUAGUUGGCGAGGUAAAGGCCCACCAAGGCGACGAUCCGUAGCUGAUCUGAGAGGAUGAUCAGCCACACUGGAACUGAGACACGGUCCAGACUCCUACGGGAGGCAGCAGUGGGGAAUAUUGGACAAUGGGCGAAAGCCUGAUCCAGCCAUACCGCGUGGGUGAAGAAGGCCUUCGGGUUGUAAAGCUCUGUUGUUGGGAAAGAAAAGCAGCAGGUGAAUACCCCGCUGUUCUGACGGUACCCAAAGAAUAAGCACCGGCUAACUUCGUG
rnacentral:rRNA from 1 species